rnacentral:rRNA from 1 species
UUUUUUUGUGGAGAGUUUGAUCCUGGCUCAGGACGAACGCUGGCGGCGUGCUUAACACAUGCAAGUCGAACGGAAAGGCCCUGCUUGCAGGGUACUCGAGUGGCGAACGGGUGAGUAACACGUGGGUGAUCUGCCCUGCACUUCGGGAUAAGCCUGGGAAACUGGGUCUAAUACCGGAUAGGAGCCAUUUUUAGUGUGAUGGUUGGAAAGUUUUUUCGGUGUAGGAUGAGCUCGCGGCCUAUCAGCU